rnacentral:rRNA from 1 species
UGGGGAAUAUUGCACAAUGGGGGAAACCCUGAUGCAGCGACGCCGCGUGAACGAAGAAGGUAUUCGUAUCGUAAAGUUCUGUCCUAUGGGAAGAUAAUGACAGUACCAUAUAAGAAAGCUCCGGCUAAAUACGUGCCAGCAGCCGCGGUAAUACGUAUGGAGCGAGCGUUUUCCGGAAUUAUUGGGCGUAAAGGGUACGCAGGCGGUUUAAUAAGUCGAAUGUUAAAGAUCGGGGCUCAACCCCGCAAAGCAUUGGAAACUGAUAAACUUGAGUAGUGGAGAGGAAAGUGGAAUUCCUAGUGUAGUGGUGAAAUACGUAGAUAUUAGGAGGAAUACCAGUAGCGAAGGCGACUUUCUGGACACAAACUGACGCUGAGGUACGAAAGCGUGGGGAGCAAACAGG